AAAAUGAGAAUUCAAAAUUUAUGUAAAUUAAUUAAAAGUUUUUCGAAGCGAUUUAUAAAGAAUAAAUAAAAAAAAUGGCAACAAUAAUUUUUAGUGAUAGUAUUGUGGGAGACUUGAUGACAUUAAAGAAAAAUGACUUGUUAUCUAUGCCUUGUCGUCAUUGUUUUGUGUAUUAUAUGGUUGAUUCCUUUAUUAUUCAAGCUAUUAUUUAAAGCGAUAAGACUACUUUUAGUCAACAGGCGGAGAAUUAAUUAACACAACAGUUAUUCACCUUCUGGUUGAUUUUAAUUUCGGUUUUGAAGGAUGAACGAUUUCACUUCGCUUUAUUUAAAUUUACAAAAACUUUAAAUAUUCUAUAAUUCUCCCUUCCUUAAAUUUUCAUGUGUUGAUUUAUAUUCAUUGAAUUUUUAAUAAAGGUUUACAUAUGUACAACUAAAUCAUUUCCACUAAACGUAUAUCUUGAUAAUUUGCUUUAUAAAGUGGUUGUGUCGUCUUUGUUUUUUGCUAUCGUUUAUGUAUUGUGAUUAAGGUUAAAUUGUAUAGAAAACCUGUCUUGUUAUAAAGCAAAUUUUCGAAAUUUUUUGUUUGUUUUUUAAAAAUUUUCCUAAAUAAAAAACGUUUUUUCCAAUUAAAUCAUAUUUUUUUUACACUCUUAUUGAUGAUAUGAAUAGAUGAGGAAAAUAGUGAGACCAGGAAUGUAUCAAUCUCAUUUGAAAAAACAGGGUUCAAAUCUUUAAUUAAUAGCUAUCUCGGUGCAACCGAAAGAAAUUUAAACGUUUUACAGAACACGAAAGAGAUUGUAAAAUAUUGAACCACAGCUUUCUCCUAAUUUUAAAGAACAGAUUUUUAUUAAAAGUUUUGAAGUACGUAAUUUUAUUACGAAGACAUUAAAAUUGUACAAGUAAUCUGCAUCUUCCCGAUAAAACAAACUUCGAUAUAACGAUUUCUCCCUGUAAUAACUUUCCAUGGGUCACUAUAU